GAUUUUCCUGCCUCAGCCUCCCGAGUAGCUGGGAUUACAGGUUCUGGGAAUUCAGCAGUGAUGAGGAGGUAGUCCUUACUCUCAUGGAACUUGCAAUCUGGUCAGAGAGAGAGAUCCCCAACACGUAGAGACGUAUAUAUAUGGUGUGUCAGGUGACGAGAAACGCUAAAACAAUCCUGAGAUGAGGAGGCUGAGGCCAAAGGAAAGACUAAGACCUGCCCAUGGACACAUGUUGGCAAAGACCAAGCAGGAACUCGAGCCAGUUUACCUGAAACCAAGGUCCAGGCAUUUGUGAAGGUAGAAGGCUGAAUAAAUGAAAUUGUAUAAUUA
rnacentral:lncRNA from 1 species